GACGAACGUUGGCGGCGUGCUUAACACAUGCAAGUCGAACGGAAAGGCCCUGCUUUUGUGGGGUGCUCGAGUGGCGAACGGGUGAGUAACACGUGAGUAACCUGCCCUUGACUUUGGGAUAACUUCAGGAAACUGGGGCUAAUACCGGAUAGGAGCUCCUGCUGCAUGGUGGGGGUUGGAAAGUUUCGGCGGUUGGGGAUGGACUCGCGGCUUAUCAGCUUGUUGGUGGGGUAGUGGCUUACCAAGGCUUUGACGGGUAGCCGGCCUGAGAGGGUGACCGGCCACAUUGGGACUGAGAUACGGCCCAGACUCCUACGGGAGGCAGCAGUGGGGAAUAUUGCACAAUGGGCGGAAGCCUGAUGCAGCAACGCCGCGUGCGGGAUGACGGCCUUCGGGUUGUAAACCGCUUUCGCCUGUGACGAAGCGUGAGUGACGGUAAUGGGUAAAGAAGCACCGGCUAACUACGUGCCAGCAGCCGCGGUGAUACGUAGGGUGCGAGCGUUGUCCGGAUUUAUUGGGCGUAAAGGGCUCGUAGGUGGUUGAUCGCGUCGGAAGUGUAAUCUUGGGGCUUAACCCUGAGCGUGCUUUCGAUACGGGUUGACUUGAGGGAGGUAGGGGAGAAUGGAAUUCCUGGCGGAGCGGUGGAAUGCGCAGAUAUCAGGAGGAACACCAGUGGCGAAGGCGGCUCUCUGGGCCUUUCCUGACGCUGAGGAGCGAAAGCGUGGGGAGCGAACAGGCUUAGAUACCCUGGUAGUCCACGCUGUAAACGGUGGGUACUAGGUGUGGGGUCCAUUCCACGGGUUCCGUGCCGUAGCUAACGCUUUAAGUACCCCGCCUGGGGAGUACGGCCGCAAGGCUAAAACUCAAAGGAAUUGACGGGGCCCCGCACAAGCGGCGGAGCAUGCGGAUUAAUUCGAUGCAACGCGUAGAACCUUACCUGGGUUUGACAUGGAUCGGGAGUGCUCAGAGAUGGGUGUGCCUCUUUUGGGGUCGGUUCACAGGUGGUGCAUGCCUGUCGUCAGCUCGUGUCGUGAGAUGUUGGGUUAAGUCCCGCAACGAGCGCAACCCUUGUUCACUGUUGCCAGCACGUUAUGGUGGGGACUCAGUGGAGACCGCCGGGGUCAACUCGGAGGAAGGUGGGGAUGACGUCAAGUCAUCAUGCCCCUUAUGUCCAGGGCUUCACGCAUGCUACAAUGGCUGGUACAGAGAGUGGCGAGCCUGUGAGGGUGAGCGAAUCUCGGAAAGCCGGUCUCAGUUCGGAUUGGGGUCUGCAACUCGACCUCAUGAAGUCGGAGUCGCUAGUAAUCGCAAAUCAGCAACGCUGCGGUGAAUACGUUCCCGGG
rnacentral:rRNA from 1 species